AGCGUAUAUAAGGGCACGAGAGUCUCAUUUCUAUCUCUUCCUCUCAAGUCUUCUGCAAGGAAACUACGGCAGAACUUCGGAUCAACCGGAAUCGUUAUUAGGAGCUGUAACUUACCAGACCUCUCCAACCAUGGAUCUCUGUAUCGAAUGCAGGUAUUGGGUAACAUUGAGGAUGGAAGCACCAAGCAUGAGACUGACCAGCUCACUUGCAGGUAUUGGGUAACAUUGAGGAUAGAAGCACCAAGCAUGAGACUGACCAGCUCAUUUGCAGGUGACCCUCAUGGCUGACUCUGAAGUGACUAGAUGAGUACAUUGGCUGAGUGCAUCAGGCAUCAAUGCACUUCAAUCUGGUAUCCUUGGGCUGCAUGGGCUCUGUACCUUCCUGGCAGGGUCCAGUGACAUGUUGGAGCAGCCUGAAGUGCCGUGUAUUCAGGGCCCAAGCUGCAGGCAGCCACUGCAGAGGGAUUAAACGUGGAUGUGGCUCCAGAGAUGCAGGUUGCCUACUCCUGACGGUUCUGACUGCACUGUGAAGAUGUUGUACAUUUCCAUGUGGUCAGUUGAAUAAAUAUUGUGUUAAUGAAAUAAAAUACACAAACUAAACUUUA